CUACAUCUCCAUAUUCUCUUCAUUCUCUCCAAAAAUCAAGAUGAGAAAGCUAUUCAUUUUCUCCACCAUCGUCACCUCUCUUCUUCUCCUCCCAAUCCUUUCAAUAUCUCAAUAAGUUGAUGAUGAGAAGGAGUUUAGUUAUGAGAAUGAGAGUGAAAUAGGUCCAAAGCAUUGGGGUGAAAUUCACGAGGAUUGGGCUAUGUGUGGGAAAGGAGAAAUGCAAUCCCCAAUUGAUCUAACUCUUGAAAGAGUUAAGGUUUUUCACCAUCUUCGUCCUCUUCGUCGAUCUCAUAAGCCGGCUAAUGCUUUUAUGAAAAAUAGAGGACAUGAUAUCAUGUUGCAAUGGAAAGAAGAAGCAGGAGGAAUUUGGAUAAAUCAGAAUAAGUAUUUACUCAAGCAAGUCCAUUGGCACUCUCCUUCUGAGCACACCA